GGAGACAAGAUCUGCAAAGUUACACCUUGGGCAAUUCCAGCAAAAAGUACAAGAGAAAUCAGAAAAUCCCAGCAAAGAAGGAGAACUUGAAGCUAAUGAGGAGACUGAGGAUGAUACAUUUAUUCCAAGGAAACUCUUUCUUUUUAAUAUAGAAUCUUUCAAGGAGAACCCAAAGAGAAUUGAGUCAAAUCUAACUAACUAUACUCCUAACCCAUCUACAAGCUUGCAAAACUAUUCAGAAGAGGAUGACCAUGCUCAUGGAACAUGUUCAGAAAAGAAAUCAUCUCCAACCAAGACAAGAAAGAGCAUCAGAACCCGUGUUUUAAAGUUUUUUGGACUAAGAUAAAUCCAAGUUUAGAAGAAAAGUAAAUCUGAGAGACUGCUAAUGAUAUUAAAUUGUGUUU